UACGAAGGGGGCUAGCGUUGUUCGGAAUUACUGGGCGUAAAGCGCACGUAGGCGGGUUGUUAAGUCAGGGGUGAAAUCCUGGAGCUCAACUCCAGAACGGCCUUUGAUACUGGCAACCUAGAGACUGGAAGAGGUUAGUGGAAUUCCCAGUGUAGAGGUGAAAUUCGUAGAUAUUGGGAAGAACACCAGUGGCGAAGGCGGCUAACUGGUCCAGCACUGACGCUGAGGUGCGAAAGCGUGGGGAGCAAACAGG
rnacentral:rRNA from 1 species